CCGCGGUGCGCCGGGGGGGGGGGGGGGGGGGGGGGGGGGGGGGGAAUUCACCGCCGCCGUCGAAUGCAGGAACCACGGGCACUCGGACUGCCGUGGUGCAUUCUGAUUUCACUGUUGCAUUCUGAUUCCGCGACCCAUAGAAGCUUCCCACGCCUCUGAUUUCACUGUUGUCAUCGUUGCGCCGGCGCAAUUACUCGCCGAGGUUAAGUAAUUGCCGUUGUGCCAUGGGUCACCGACAGAGGACAUCUAUGUUGCGCAAUCCCUCGGUAAGAAGUCCUUGCUACGUUCGAUUGCUCCUUAGCUACGUGUAGCAUAGUUCAGAUCGAAGGAUGGCCGUAGG
rnacentral:lncRNA from 7 species